rnacentral:rRNA from 1 species
UUGAACGCUGGCGGCAUGCUUUACACAUGCACGUCGAACGGUAACAGGCCGCAAGGUGCUGACGAGUGGCGAACGGGUGAGUAAUGCAUCGGAACGUGCCCAGUCGUGGGGGAUAACUACUCGAAAGAGUAGCUAAUACCGCAUACGAUCUAUGGAUGAAAGCGGGGGACCGUAAGGCCUCGCGCGAUUGGAGCGGCCGAUGUCAGAUUAGGUAGUUGGUGGGGUAAAGGCUCACCAAGCCAACGAUCUGUAGCUGGUCUGAGAGGACGACCAGCCACACUGGGACUGAGACACGGCCCAGACUCCUACGGGAGGCAGCAGUGGGGAAUUUUGGACAAUGGGCGCAAGCCUGAUCCAGCAAUGCCGCGUGCAGGAAGAAGGCCUUCGGGUUGUAAACUGCUUUUGUACGGAACGAAACGGCUCUGGUUAAUACCCGGGGCUAAUGACGGUACCGUAAGAAUAAGCACCGGCUAACUACGUG